rnacentral:lncRNA from 1 species
AGCACAUACAGAGGGACUUAAGGGUGUUUGGGGAGAUAAUUCAGGGAAGGCUUUUCUGAGAAAUUGACAUUUGAGCAGUGACCUGAAGGAUGAAUUAGUUAGCUGAAUGUCAAGGAGAGCAGGAGAGAGUGCUGCAGAGUGUGUGACCAGCCCACGAUGGAAAGGAACAUAGCACACUGUAGGACUAUAAAAGCUCAAUGGAGCUGAAUUCAGGAAACAGGCGACAGGCACAUGAGACAAUUUGGGAGCAGUAGGCAAGGGGCCAGGUCAUGCAGCAUCACUGGGGCAUUCUACAGAACAUGUUUGUUGAUUUUUUGCUGAAGGCUUGUAUCUGUAUCCAACCGAUGCUUGUAAUUCAACUGCGAUUUCACAAAAGGAUUGUAUCUCAAUCUGCUCUUUUUCUCAAUUAAGUUAUUAUCACUAAAUCUGAUAUGUGAUCUGCUAAGCUGUUUUUUUACCCUGUAUAAAUAAACCCAUUAAACUACAAUCUUUUAGCUUCAAUACUAAGCACAGCACAUUUUAAAGUUUAAUCUGCAUUAUUAACAUUUUUUUCCCAUCACUUUCUUACGUCUAGAGACAAUCAGCAAAACAACAAACUAAGCUCUGAUUCAUAGCGUUUGCCAAUUUCUAUGGUGUAGAUACCGUCACCAUGGCCGACUGCAAUCUGCCGAUGUGACAUCACUGAAGGUAGGUUAGGAAGACCCAAGCACAGCAGCAUGCUAUUUCCUUUUGGCAGUGGAAAUGGAAAGAAGUGGACAGAUUUGAUAGACAUUUAGCAAGUAAAACCUUGGUGAUUUGUUAGAUGCCAAGGGUUUGGGAAAUACUGGGCAGGUGGUAGUAUUACAAUUACAUCACUUAUUACAGGGAGACCUGAGGAGGAGAAAGCAGUGAGAGCAUGCAUUCCAUUUGGGAUGUCUUCCAUCCUCGGUGCCAGUGACACAGCCAGGUGGAAGCUAGAUAAAUGGGUUUGAAGCUCAGAUAAGUAAGGACUGGAGCUGUAUCAAUCUGGGAUAUAUUGAUUGAAAUGUUGGCAGUGGAUUAAAUCAUACAGGGAAAAACUGUAGCAUGAAAAGGCUGAGACCUUAACAACAUGUCCUUUGGAGGUCAUCAAGCAGCAGAUGAGCAAAGUAAGGAGACUGGGGAAAACAAGGGAGCAGCACACCACUAUCACCAAAAGAAGUGUGUUUGAGGAAGAAUACUGCUGAGAGAUCAAGUAAAAUGAGACAAGAGAGUGUCCCUUGGAUUUAGUGAUUGUGGGUGACUAUAGGAAAAAGGCAGUUUCAGUGGAAUGUGGAAACCAAGAAGUGGCUCUCGGAGCUGAAAGACUAGAAAGGGCGGGGGGCAUGGGGACCGGCAGCUCUUUUAACUUCAGUUAUGGAGAGGAGGAGAGGGAACAGGGUGGCAGCUGGAAGGGUAGGGUGAGGGGCAGAGGAAGGCUUGGGACUGAUUAAACGCUGAUGACAGGGAUCCAGUCAGGAGGGAGGGAUUGAUCUCAGGCUGGAUGGGACUGUGUCAUACUGGGGGGGAGGGGGGUGUUGGAAGCGGGGGAAUGAAGGGUGGAAUCCGCGUUUUAAGGUUUGUACGUUUGGCGGUGGAAAGUGGAAAAGGCUCCCCUCUUUCUGUUGAGGCAGCAAAGCAAUCUGCUGAGAUGGGAGUUCCUGGCGGGUGGCCUGGCAACCCGGUCGGGAGUAAAAGUUUAGGACAAAGUGACUACUGGUGACUGGACGCCGGAAUGUCGGCUGCAGCCGGGUGAGGAGCCACGGCGGGGAUGGGGCUCGUGCAUCAGCAGGAGGACGAAGACCCGAGCCGAGGAAGAGGAUCCAUGGAAAGCAGCAGGCGGCCGGCAGGGCCUUGGAUGGCGGAACGCAGCCUUCAGUUCUGCUCCGAGAGGCACCGAGCGGGGACCCACAGACCUGAAACAACUCCUGCCAGACAGGAGGAAGUCGGGAAGGCCGAACGCGGAGACACACCGAUUUACACCAACUCCUCCCCGGCAGGAAGGGUCCCGACGGUCCUCUCCCAGCUCGUUUCCCUGCAGGGCCGCGGCGGUCCCCCGCGGAGCGCCACCC